GGCGUGGGUGCUGCGCCUCAGGGGCAGUCAGCCAGCUGUGGAGCUAAUGGACCAGGAGCGAGGCUGGCAGCUGCUAGAGGAAGCCCAGCCUGAGAGGUUUGCUCUCCUUAGCAGGUGAGGACAGAGGCUGAAGGAGUCACGUUCUCGCUCUGGAGCCCAGUGGGGCAGAGAUGGGAGCGGGUGGCCGGGACUGGGCCAGAUUCCAACAUGUGCAGGGUUGUCAUGCACACAUCAACACGAGCUCUUGUUCUCUCCCAGGGCCAUAGUGACCCACCCAAACCGGGCCCUGAAGAGCAUCCCAUGGCUCCUCCUUCCCAGCCUCCAGGCCAGCCAGGAGGGCGAACACAUGGCCUGCACUGUUCUGUUCACAGAGGUGAACCUGGAGGACCAGGGCGGAGGGUUAACCAGGCCCAGAAGCUGAUGGAACAGGGGGCCAAUAGCUGGUCAGCCAAUGAGAGAUGAUUCUGGUGGUGUAUUGCUUGUAAAUUAAUCCCUCUGCUGGGGGCUCUGUGGUGGGGUUUGGGAGCACCCCACUGGAACCAGAGGGAGCGCUCUGCCCUGCUCAUGUCACUUCUGUUAAGCUCAGUGAAGCCAGCAUCUCGUGAACAGCAGUUGGCAUGGAUCUUAGUCACCUCCUGGCCCCUGAUCACACUCCCUUCCCCUUGCUCUGGCUGGGCUAGGACCCACUGGCCUCACCCAGCCCUCUCAGACAGCUCCGUUCGGUCCCUUUACUUCCUCGGCAGCCCCCUGCUGAUGGAGAAUGAUCCCAAGGCCAUGCGGAAGCAGGUUGUGAAGGCCAUGCUGCAGCAGACAGAGGACAGCAACAUCCACAUUCGAGGCAGAGCGCUGCACGGCCUCAGGAACGCAGUGACCGAGUUCCCAGACAAGGUCAGGAAAAAGCGAGACCAGAUCCUGGGGAGCUUUGUCUGCACCAUAUGCAAAUGCUGCGACCCCACCCGUUCUGGGCACCAUAGAAGGGCUCUGCUGGAUGUUGCGGGACCCCAAGUUGCCUCUGAAGGUGCACGUUGCUGUACCCCUGGUCCUGCAGGCGAGAACGUUCUUUGAGGAUGAGAACAGCGGCCGGAGGCGGGCCUCCAUGGAGCUCUUUGGCCACCUCAGAAAAUUUGUUUCCAAUAAGUCAUCCCUGUUUAGGGCUGAGGUGGAGAAGAGCAUGGGGAUGCUGCUCAUCCACCUACAGGACGGAG